rnacentral:snRNA from 1 species
GUGCUUACUUAGGCAGCACAUAUACUAAAAUUGGAACUAUAUAGAGAAGAUUAGCAUGGCCCCUGCGCAAGGAUGACAAGCAAAUUGGUGGUGCUGGUAAUUGAACU